rnacentral:rRNA from 1 species
CGUAUGAUGUCGAAAGGCCAAAGAUUUAUCGCCUAAGGAUGAGCCCGCGUAAGAUUAGCUUGUUGGUGAGGUAAAAGCUCACCAAGGCGACGAUCUUUAGCUGGUCUGAGAGGAUGAUCAGCCACACUGGGACUGAGACACGGCCCAGACUCCUACGGGAGGCAGCAGUGGGGAAUAUUGGACAAUGGGCGAAAGCCUGAUCCAGCAAUGCCGCGUGAGUGAUGAAGGCCUUAGGGUUGUAAAGCUCUUUUACCAGGGAUGAUAAUGACAGUACCUGGAGAAUAAGCUCCGGCUAACUCCGUGCCAGCAGCCGCGGUAAUACGGAGGGAGCUAGCGUUGUUCGGAAUUACUGGGCGUAAAGAGUACGUAGGCGGUGAUUCAAGUCAGAGGUGAAAGCCUGGUGCUCAACUCCAGAACUGCCUUUGAAACUAGAUCGCUAGAAUUGUGGAGAGGUUAGUGGAAUUCCGAGUGUAGAGGUGAAAUUCGUAGAUAUUCGGAAGAACACCAGUGGCGAAGGCGACUAACUGGACACAU